CCAGACUCUACGGGAGGCAGCAGUAGGGAAUCUUCGGCAAUGGACGAAAGUCUGACCGAGCAACGCCGCGUGAGUGAAGAAGGUUUUCGGAUCGUAAAGCUCUGUUGUAAGAGAAGAACGGGUGUGAGAGUGGAAAGUUCACACUGUGACGGUAUCUUACCAGAAAGGGACGGCUAACUACGUGCCAGCAGCCGCGGUAAUACGUAGGUCCCGAGCGUUGUCCGGAUUUAUUGGGCGUAAAGCGAGCGCAGGCGGUUAGAUAAGUCUGAAGUUAAAGGCUGUGGCUUAACCAUAGUACGCUUUGGAAACUGUUUAACUUGAGUGCAGAAGGGGAGAGUGGAAUUCCAUGUGUAGCGGUGAAAUGCGUAGAUAUAUGGAGGAACACCGGUGGCGAAAGCGGCUCUCUGGUCUGUAACUGACGCUGAGGCUCGAAAGCGUGGGGAGCGAACAGGAUUAGAUACCCUGGUAGUCCACGCCGUAAACGAUGAGUGCUAGGUGUUAGGCCCUUUCCGGGGCUUAGUGCCGCAGCUAACGCAUUAAGCACUCCGCCUGGGGAGUACGACCGCAAGGUUGAAACUCAAAGGAAUUGACGGGGGCCCGCACAAG
rnacentral:rRNA from 1 species